CCUGGUUGAUCCUGCCAGUGGCUUGUCUCAAAGAUUAAGCAAUGCAUGUGUAAGCAUACACGGCAGGUGCAGUGAAAUUGCGAAUGGCUCAUUAAAUAAGUUAUGGUUCCUUUGAUCGCUCCAUCUGUUAACUUGGAUAGCUGUGGUAAUUCUAAAGCUAAUACAUGCUGACAAGAGUUGACCUCCCAGGAUGUGUGCAUUUAUCAGACCAAGACCAAUCUGGGCUUUCCCAGCUGCUUUGGCGACUCUAGAUAAACUUGUGCAAGUCGCACAUCUGUGUGACAGCGACGAUACAUUCAGAUUUCUGCCCUAUAAACUUUCAAUGGUACUUUAUGUGCCUAUAAUAGUGACCAUGGGUAACAUAAAAUCAUUGUUUGAGUCCAGAAAGGGCGCCUAAGAAAUGGCUACCACAUACAUGCAAGGCAGCAGGUGUGCAAAUUACCAACUUCCGACUCGGGAUGUAGUGAUGAAAAUUAGCCUUUGAGGCCCUGUAAAUGUAAUGAGUACACUUUAAUUCUUUUAAUGAUGAUCCAUCAGACGAGAAGUCUGGUGCCAGCAGCCGUCGUGGUAUACAGUUGUUCUGCUGCCAUUUAUUUUUUUAUGAGAUUUUUAAAGAAAAAUAAACAUUGAAAAAAUAAAGGGGGUAAGGUGAUAAAAAGGGUAGGAGAUCGGGACUAAAUAGAGAAAAGCUUGGGGUGGGGGACCACCCCAAGUAUAUAAAACAAAAAUGUAGAUGAGUUUCUUUUGAUGACAGAUUGUCAUUAAAAAACUAAUUGAAAAAAAUGGCAGGAAAAGAACAUAGAUCUGCUGUGGUAAUUCCAGGUCAAAUAGCGUAUAUUAAAGUUGCUGCACUUAAAAAGCUUGUAGUUGGAUCUUGGGAUGAAGCUGGCGGGCCGUCGUGAGGCGAGCUACCACCUGACCCAGCCCCUGCCUCUCAGGGCCCCCUUGAUGCUUUUCACUGAGUGUCCUAGAGUUUUCAAAGCAAGCCAGUCACCUGAAUACUUCAGCUAGGAAUAAUGGAAUAGGAGCUUUGUUCUAUUUUGGUGGUUUUCUGGGGCCAUGAUUAAGAGGGACGACUAGGGGCAUUCGUAUUGCGCAGAUAGAGGUGACAUUUUUGGGCAAGUGAAAGACAAACCAAAGAGAAAGCAUUUGGCAAGAAGGUUUUCAUGAAUGAAUAACAAAAGUCAGAGUUUCGAAGACGAUCAGAUACUGUCGUAAAUUCGACCAUAAACGAUUCUGACUAGCGAUCCGGCAGCAUUAUUCCCAUGACCCGCUGAGCAGCUUCCGAGAAACCAAAGUCUUUGUGUUCCAGGGGGGAGCAUGGUUGCAAAGCUAAAACUUAAAGGAACCAGUAAUGCAGCCUGUGACUUAAUUUUACUCAACACAGGAAACAUCACUCGGCCCAGAAACAGAAAGGAUUGACAGGUUGAUAGUUUUUUCCUGAUUCUGUAGGAGGUGGUGCAUGGCUGUUCUUAGUUGGUGGAGUGAUUUGCCUUGCUAAUUCCGAUAACGCACGAAUUCCACCAUGCUAAUGAGUUAUGCGACCCCCAGCGGUGUUCAACUUCUUAGAGAGAGCAGUGGCGUUCAGCCAGACGAGAGCUAGCAAAAACAGGUCUGUGAUGCCCUUAGAUGUCCGCGGCUGCAGACGUGUUAAACUGAACUGGAUCAGCAUUUUAUCUACCCUUCACAGAAAGUGGGGGUAACCCACUGAACCCUGUUCAUGAUAGGGAUUGGGAAUUGCAAUUAUUUCCCAUGAACAAUAAAAUGUCCAGUAAGUGCGUGUCAGAAGCUUGCAUUGAUUAAGUCCCUGUUCUUUGUACACACCACCUGUCUCUACUACCGAUUUGAUGGUUUAGUGAGGUCAUUGGAUUGGCAUGCCGGGAUCGACAACAGCUCUGGCGGAGCGCCGAGAAAACAUUCAAACUUGACUAUAUAGAGGAAGUAAAAGUCAUGACAAGGUUUCCGUAGGUGAACCUGUGAAAG
rnacentral:rRNA from 1 species